ACGGAGGUUGCAAGCGUUAUCCGGAUUUAUUGGGUUUAAAGGGUGCGUAGGCGGACCUAUAAGUCAGCGGUGAAAGACUGUCGCUUAACGAUAGCAUUGCCGUUGAUACUGUAGAUCUUGAGUACAUUUGAGGUGGGCGGAAUGUGUAGUGUAGCGGUGAAAUGCUUAGAUAUUACACAGAACACCAAUUGCGAAGGCAGCUCACUAAACUGUAACUGACGCUGAGGCACGAAAGCGUGGGGAUCAAACAGGAUUAGAUACCCUGGUAGUCCACGCCGUAAACUAUGAUCACUGGAUGUUUGCGAUACACAGCAAGCGUCUGAGUAAAAGCAUUAAGUGAUCCACCUGGGGAGUACGUCGGCAACGAUG
rnacentral:rRNA from 1 species